ACUCAGCCAUCAGAAACGACGAAUACCCACCAUUUGCUUCAACGUGGAUGGAAUUGGAAGGGGAAAUUUGAACACAAACACACGCGGUGGUAGAAACCCACAUGAACAUGAAGGCAGAGAUCAGAGGGAUGCUUCUGUAAGCCAAGGAAUGUCAAAGAUUGCAAACAAAUCGCCAGAAGGCAGCUUACAGGAAUGGAAUAGAUUUUUUUUUCUCUGUUUCGAUGAAACCAAGAUGGCCCACAUCUUGACCUGCACUUUUAGCCUCCGGAGCUGUGAGACAAUAAAGUUCUGUUGUUGACAA